UUUCCUCUCUUUGUCCGAUUCAUCUCAUAUUCAUUGUUGUCUUGCCCUCUCCCUGGGUAGGGAAUCUUGGGAGAGGGCUAAAUCUGAUAAAUUUUACAUACACACAUAAAUUUCUAAAUUUUCAUAAACUGAAAAUUGUAAAGCUACUUUUUGUCGGGAUACGCGAGUGUUAUUUAAUUUAAUAACCAAUCUGGAAAUCUCUUCAAAACCAUAUUUUACAUAGACGGAGGGCAGACAUGUAUUUAUUUACAACUUUUCAUUUAAUGACGACAGAUGGUCGAGCUUUGUUGGAGUGCUGCCUAGUUUUAUUGUGAUCGGAUUUAAUGGCUUGGAUUGGAGAAUAUGUACAUAAGUAAAUUUACCCUCAAAAUCUCAGAGAGAUGAACUACAAGAUGUGACUGAUGUAAUUCCACAGAGUUACAAAACUUGAUCAGCAUCAUAAACAUCCACAGCAGAAGGAUCUGACACACAUCCGCAAUUUGUAUGCUGAACAGGACCUCAAGCACUUUGCAUGCGAAUGGACACGAUUUAUUGGCAACACAAAAUCCAUCAGUAAACAUUCCGCUAUAACAAAAUUGUGUCAUCAUCCCAUCAUCAAGUAAACAAUUCACUGCAUGUAUUAAAUUUUUCUACGCCAAUUCAGAUACAAGAUUAUUAAUAAGGAGAUUUUUAGACUCAUCUUGAGAUAAGUCUGUACAUAGUAAUAUCAACAAAUCGUAACUUUGGGGAAGUUUUUAUCCAAAAAAAAUGUUUUAUUAGUUUAGCUAGAAAUAGGUAUUUAGGGUGCAUUACAGCUUCAAAUUUGAUAAUAAUUCAUAUUUUAUUAAAAAUGAUGUUGGAUUGUGAGAAAUGUACAUAGAUGUGUACAUACAUACAUACAUAAUAUCUGAAGUAUGGGACAUUUGUCAUAGAUACAUACAUACAUAAAUCCCAUUUUAGUACUCUCAAACACAUCUUAGAUACAUGUCACUCUUUUCACGAACUUGAAAUGAAUGCCCUGAAUAUGUCUGUGAUCUCAACCUUUUCAAAAAUCGCUAACGUUAAUUGUAAUAACGUUAUGCAUUUACGAUUUAACAGUAUAUUAUAUUACAAAGAAAUCAAAGAAAAGAGAAGAAAAAGAAGAAGUAUCAAAGAAGUAUCAUUUACCUCUGUAAUGAUGGUGAAAGAGUUCUCGCCAACGUCCACACGAACAUUUUAGUAUCCGUGCUCAUUCAGGUAAAAUAAAAUGAUACUUUCACCCA